AGCCCCGGAGCCUUUUAGGGCUCAUCUUUAAAUUUGCAUUUUAAUGUGGAACACCUCAGGACUGU
rnacentral:tRNA from 1 species